rnacentral:rRNA from 1 species
UACGUAGGUGGCAAGCGUUGUCCGGAUUUACUGGGCGUAAAGAGCGCGCAGGCGGUCGUUCAAGUCGCGUGUGAAAGCCCCCGGCUCAACUGGGGAGGGUCACGCGAUACUGAUCGACUCGAAGGCAGGAGAGGGAAGUGGAAUUCCCAGUGUAGAGGUGAAAUUCGUAGAUAUUGGGAAGAACACCGAUGGCGAAGGCAGCCAUCUGGACCGACACUGACGCUGAGGCGCGAAAGCGUGGGGAGCAAACAGG